UACCUCACCUCCCAAAUCAGGUCCCUGAAAUCUGUUUGGAAAAUAACCACAGGCCUGAAUCCCCGUGGAAGUGGCUGCUGAGCAUACAGUCCCUGCUGUCUGGAAUUCUAUCAGCAUCAUCAUUUCUCAUCAACAUCGAGAAAUGUUUUACAUCAAACCAUUAUGCAAUCCUCCCCAACUGGGCUGCCAUUCAUCUUCAUCUCUCCUAAGUCAGGAUCCUCCCAGCCAAAAGAAAUGAAAAAUAUCACCUCCUCCAGGAAGCCUCUCUUUCCCUGUGAGGAAUCGUUUCAUUAAACUGUGAAAUGUCUCCCAAGAAAAGCACAGUAUAUGUGGGGAGUUCAGAAGAAAAGGAAUCCUAUGAUUUUGGAGCAGGGGAUCAGAGAAGGCUUCGUGGAAGAGAUGCCACUACACCUGGUUUGUAAGGGUCAGGUAUGAGUCGAGGAAGCAGUGAUCAGGAGACAGACCGUCCAACCAUGAGCCCAGUGAUAAAUGGGGAACAUUUCCAUACUUCCUUCUUGGGGCUCCAACGAGAAUUACAGGCAUUUGCUGGAUAGUCCCACUGGAAAUGAACAGAAAAGGAAGCUUGGAGAAAGCUGGGGUGGAUCCAAGGAGUAGGAUGCCACCCUCUUGUUCUAGAUGGUUUAACUUGUGUGAGCUCCGUCUCUGCUCCCUAAAGAGCUGG